rnacentral:rRNA from 1 species
AGAGUUUGAUCCUGGCUCAGGACGAACGCUGGCGGCGUGCUUAACACAUGCAAGUCGAACGGAAAGGCCCUGCUUUUGUGGGGUGCUCGAGUGGCGAACGGGUGAGUAACGCGUGAGUAACCUGCCCUUGACUUUGGGAUAACUUCAGGAAACUGGGGCUAAUACCGGAUAGGAGCUCCUGCUGCAUGGUGGGGGUUGGAAAGUUUCGGCGGUUGGGGAUGGACUCGCGGCUUAUCAGCUUGUUGGUGGGGUAGUGGCUUACCAAGGCUUUGACGGGUAGCCGGCCUGAGAGGGUGACCGGCCACAUUGGGACUGAGAUACGGCCCAGACUCCUACGGGAGGCAGCAGUGGGGAAUAUUGCACAAUGGGCGGAAGCCUGAUGCAGCAACGCCGCGUGCGGGAUGACGGCCUUCGGGUUGUAAACCGCUUUCGCCUGUGACGAAGCGUGAGUGACGGUAAUGGGUAAAGAAGCACCGGCUAACUACGUGCCAGCAGCCGCGGUGAUACGUAGGGUGCGAGCGUUGUCCGGAUUUAUUGGGCGUAAAGGGCUCGUAGGUGGUUGAUCGCGUCGGAAGUGUAAUCUUGGGGCUUAACCCUGAGCGUGCUUUCGAUACGGGUUGACUUGAGGAAGGUAGGGGAGAAUGGAAUUCCUGGUGGAGCGGUGGAAUGCGCAGAUAUCAGGAGGAACACCAGUGGCGAAGGCGGUUCUCUGGGCCUUUCCUGACGCUGAGGAGCGAAAGCGUGGGGAGCGAACAGGCCUAGAUACCCUGGUAGUCCACGCUGUAAACGGUGGGUACUAGGUGUGGGGUCCAUUCCACGGGUUCCGCGCCGUAGCUAACGCUUUAAGUACCCCGCCUGGGGAGUACGGCCGCAAGGCUAAAACUCAAAGGAAUUGACGGGGCCCCGCACAAGCGGCGGAGCAUGCGGAUUAAUUCGAUGCAACGCGUAGAACCUUACCUGGGUUUGACAUGGAUCGGGAGUGCUCAGAGAUGGGUGUGCCUCUUUUGGGGUCGGUUCACAGGUGGUGCAUGGCUGUCGUCAGCUCGUGUCGUGAGAUGUUGGGUUAAGUCCCGCGACGAGCGCAACCUUUGUUCACUGUUGCCAGCACGUUAUGGUGGGGGACUCAAUGGAAAACCGCCCGGGGUCAACUCCGAAGGAAGGUGGGGAUGACGUCAAGUCAUCAUGCCCCUUAUGUCCAGGGCUUCACGCAUGCUACAAGGGCUUGGUACAAAAAAUGGGCCAGCCUGGGAAGGUGAACCGAUCUCUGGAAACCCGGUCCCAGUUCGGAUUGGGGUCUCGCACUCCGACUCUAGGAGUCGGGAGUCCUUAGAAUCCCGAAAUACGCAACCGUGGGGGGAAAAACUUUCCCGGGGUUUGGAACCCCGCCCCUCAAAUCUAAGAAAUUGGUAACCCCCGAAAACCGGGGGCCAACCCUUUUGGGGGGA